rnacentral:rRNA from 1 species
GGGACACGUGGUAUCCUGUCUGAAUAUGGGGGGACCAUCCUCCAAGGCUAAAUACUCCUGACUGACCGAUAGUGAACCAGUACCGUGAGGGAAAGGCGAAAAGAACCCCGGCGAGGGGAGUGAAAAAGAACCUGAAACCGUGUACGUACAAGCAGUGGGAGCACGCUUCGGCGUGUGACUGCGUACCUUUUGUAUAAUGGGUCAGCGACUUAUAUUCUGUAGCAAGGUUAACCGAAUAGGGGAGCCGAAGGGAAACCGAGUCUUAACUGGGCGUUAAGUUGCAGGGUAUAGACCCGAAACCCGGUGAUCUAGCCAUGGGCAGGUUGAAGGUUGGGUAACACUAACUGGAGGACCGAACCGACUAAUGUUGAAAAAUUAGCGGAUGACUUGUGGCUGGGGGUGAAAGGCCAAUCAAACCGGGAGAUAGCUGGUUCUCCCCGAAAGCUAUUUAGGUAGCGCCUCGUGAAUUCAUCUCCGGGGGUAGAGCACUGUUUCGGCAAGGGGGUCAUCCCGACUUACCAACCCGAUGCAAACUGCGAAUACCGGAGAAUGUUAUCACGGGAGACACACGGCGGGUGCUAACGUCCGUCGUGAAGAGGGAAACAACCCAGACCGCCAGCUAAGGUCCCAAAGUCAUGGUUAAGUGGGAAACGAUGUGGGAAGGCCCAGACAGCCAGGAUGUUGGCUUAGAAGCAGCCAUCAUUUAAAGAAAGCGUAAUAGCUCACUGGUCGAGUCGGCCUGCGCGGAAGAUGUAACGGGGCUAAACCAUGCACCGAAGCUGCGGCAGCGACGCUUAUGCGUUGUUGGGUAGGGGAGCGUUCUGUAAGCCUG